CUGCAGUCGAGCGGCAGCACGGCCAUAGCAAUAUGGUGGGUGGCGAGCGGCGGACGGGUGAGGAACACAUCGGAAUCUACCCUGUCGUGGGGGACAACGUAGGGAAACUUACGCUAAUACCGCAUACGACCUUUGGGUGAAAGCGGGGGACUCGCAAGAGCCUCGCGCGAUUGGAUGAGCCGAUGUCCGAUUAGCUAGUUGGCGGGGUAAUGGCCCACCAAGGCGACGAUCGGUAGCUGGUCUGAGAGGACGACCAGCCACACUGGAACUGAGACACGGUCCAGACUCCUACGGGAGGCAGCAGUGGGGAAUAUUGGACAAUGGGGGCAACCCUGAUCCAGCCAUGCCGCGUGGGUGAAGAAGGCCUUCGGGUUGUAAAGCCCUUUUGUACGGGAAGAAAAGCUUCUGGUUAACAACCGGGAGUCAUGACGGUACCGUAAGAAUAAGCACCGGCUAACUUCGUGCCAGCAGCCGCGGUAAUACGAAGGGUGCAAGCGUUACUCGGAAUUACUGGGCGUAAAGCGUGCGUAGGCGGUGGUUUAAGUCUGAUGUGAAAUCCCCGGGCUCAACCUGGGAAUGGCAUUGGAUACUGGAUCGCUAGAGUACGGUAGAGGGUGGUGGAAUUCCCGGUGUAGCAGUGAAAUGCGUAGAGAUCGGGAGGAACAUCUGUGGCGAAGGCGGCCACCUGGACCAGUACUGACGCUGAGGCACGAAAGCGUGGGGAGCAAACAGGAUUAGAUACCCUGGUAGUCCACGCCCUAAACGAUGCGAACUGGAUGUUGGGGGGAACUUGCCCUUCAGUAUCGAAGCUAACGCGUUAAGUUCGCCGCCUGGGGAGUACGGUCGCAAGACUGAAACUCAAAGGAAUUGACGGGGGCCCGCACAAGCGGUGGAGUAUGUGGUUUAAUUCGAUGCAACGCGAAGAACCUUACCUGGGCCUUGACAUCCACGGAACCCCUGAGAGAUUGGGGGGGUGCCUUCGGGAACCGUGAGACAGGUGCUGCAUGGCUGUCGUCAGCUCGUGUCGUGAGAUGUUGGGUUAAGUCCCGCAACGAGCGC
rnacentral:rRNA from 1 species